rnacentral:rRNA from 1 species
GAUGAACGCUGGCGGCGUGCCUAAUACAUGCAAGUCGAACGCGCAGCGAGAGGUGCUUGCACCUUUCAAGCGAGUGGCGAACGGGUGAGUAACACGUGGAUAACCUGCCUCAAGGCUGGGGAUAACAUUUGGAAACAGAUGCUAAUACCGAAUAAAACUUAGUAUCGCAUGAUAUCAAGUUAAAAGGCGCUACGGCGUCACCUAGAGAUGGAUCCGCGGUGCAUUAGUUAGUUGGUGGGGUAAAGGCUUACCAAGACGAUGAUGCAUAGCCGAGUUGAGAGACUGAUCGGCCACAUUGGGACUGAGACACGGCCCAAAUCCUACGGGAGGCUGCAGUAGGGAAUCUUCCACAAUGGGCGCAAGCCUGAUGGAGCAACGCCGCGUGUGUGAUGAAGGCUUUCGGGUCGUAAAGCAC